GUAGGGAAUAUUGGGCAAUGGAUGCAAGUCUGACCCAGCCAUCCCGCGUGCCGGAAGAAGGCCCUCAGGGUUGUAAACGGCUUUUGACGGUGAAGAAUCGACAGGAUGCGUCCUGUUUUGACGGUAGCCGUUGAAUAAGCACCGGCUAACUCCGUGCCAGCAGCCGCGGUAAUACGGAGGGUGCGAGCGUUGUCCGGAUUUAUUGGGUUUAAAGGGUGCGUAGGCUGGAAGGUCAGUCAGCGGUGACAAGCUGUCGCUUAACGAUAGUCUUGCCGCAGAUACUUCCGUUCGUGGAUGAGGAGGAGGCCACUGGAACGGAUGAUGUAGCGGUGAAAUGCAUAGAUAUCAUCCAGAACACCGAUUGCGAAGGCAGGUGGCUGUACCUUAAUCGACGCUGAUGCACGAAAGCAUGGGGAGCAAACAGGAUUAGAUACCCGGGUAGUCC
rnacentral:rRNA from 1 species